rnacentral:rRNA from 1 species
AUACGGAGGAUCCGAGCGUUAUCCGGAUUUAUUGGGUUUAAAGGGUGCGCAGGCGGCCAUUUAAGUCAGCGGUUAAAUCGUGGGGCUCAACCCCAUUCUGCCGUUGAUACUGGGUGGCUUGAUUGCGGUCGAGGUUGGCGGAAUUCGUUGUGUAGCGGUGAAAUGCAUAGAUAUGACGAAGAACACCGAUUGCGUAGGCAGCUGACCAGACCGCAAAUGACGCUCAUGCACGAAAGUGCGGGGAUCGAACAUGAUUAGAUACCCUGGUAGUCCGCACAGUAAACGAUGAAUACUUGUUUUCGGCGAUAUAAUGUCGGAGGCAAAGCGAAAGCGAUAAGUAUUCCGCCUGGGGAGUACGCCGGCAACGGUGAAACUCAAAGGAAUUGACGGGG